AGAAGUGAGCAACCACCAGCCGAACGGGAGGAAACGCGGAUGCGGCCGCUCCAAAGCCGAGGCAGGGAGCCUGGGCCACACGCGGGCGCCUGAUCUCACACAACAGCCCAGCCUCCAGCCCGUGUCCCCACCGGGCCGGGCGGUCACCGCAGACGCCUAGAAGCCGCAGCCUUGCCCUCUCCCUCAAGUCCACCGCAUCGACGACCCUCCUCACCAGACCAGGACCCCGACUCCGUCAGCCACGAGCGCCAUGUGGACCAGUCAGCGACAGAAUCCACCAGGUGCCCUUGUGAUCCCAGCAACAACAGACUAUCAGGGACAGACAAAUCCCUGAGGCUCAACAGCUGACCAGCCAGGCUAGCUACUUGCCGUCAUCUCCUGAAGAUGCUAGUACUGUUCCUGUUAUGUUCCAGCUCACCCUCCAGACCUGAGAAUUAUGAUUAUCAAACUGAGCCACAAUAUGGAUUUCAAAUUUUGUUGGACCACCAGAAGAAGUAAGUUCUUUUCUAAAAAAAGAUGAACAACGUCUUCAAAAAGUGUCUUGUGUGUAUAUACACUCUCAUACAUAAACACACAUUUGAAGAAAUACAAAUAAAUAUGCUUACCAUAUUCUUUCCUAAUGUGCACUUAUGUGCCCUGCCCACUAUCCACUACUCAGCCUUCGAGCUACAUAAACAUCAUUUCAUUUGACUUCUCUAAAACCUGGGCUUACUUCACCCCACAGAUGAUACUCAGUGCCUCUUUUUUUGAAGAAGACACAAAUGAAAUGAGCACACUGUUCUCUGAAACAAGGUUCAGAAUCCAACACAUGUAACAAUUUUACAAGAUAGAGUAGCUAAAAGGAAGCAUAGAAACAAGGAACUGAAACAAUUCAAAUUAAAUCCCCACUCCAAAAAGCCACAUAAAACAUUCCGGAGAGGACUGUCUGCAUACUGUGACUUUACUGUUCUCUACAAAGGAAGAAAAACAGAGGGCUGGAGAGAUGGCUCAGCGGUUAAGAGCACUGACUG